rnacentral:misc_RNA from 1 species
UGUGUACAAGGAUGUGACUUAUAAGUUAAGGUGUUAAGGGAGGGACACCAAAUCAUUUUAAAGAAACAAUGCUGUUUAUAUACAUGUACCGGAAUGUCACACAUCUUAUGCAUGUACGUAUGACAGAAGCAUAUAGUGUUUGUCAUGCUGUCUUCUGUCAGUCAAUCACGCUUUAAGUUAAGCUCAGUGUUUUGUUAAGUUUCAAGGAAAUUGUUCAUUAUUUCUUCAUCAAACUUCAUACAAAGGUACAAUUCAGUUGUCAUAAUUUUCUGACCUUGACGUCCCUGUGAGUUUAAUUGGUAAUCAACUUUCCUUAAAACCUUCAGCCAAUAUUUCUCAUUUUUCAUUUUGCUCAGCAUUCAAGAAACUUUUUUUUUUAACUCAAAAUAAUUAUCCUACUGGUAUGACUUUACUAUUCAUUUUUGCAUUUAUCUUUUUCUUGAAAAUUAUUCAAGAUGAUUUUACCUAACUUAAAUAAAUGAUAUAAAAUAUGAAAAUAUUAUUUCUUCAGUUACCAUGUUUUUCUGUCAACUAGGACUUCUGAAAAGAUACAUGUUUUUUCAUGUUGAAGUAUUAAUGUACCAUUAGGCUAGCCCUCAAGUACUAUGGGCAAAUUUUAUUGUUUAUUAUUGAUUUUUAAAAUAUCAAUUUUUUUUUUGGUAUCAGGUAAUCAAAGUUUUUGAGUUUGUAAAACAAUGCAAUUCAUUAAAAUUAAGUUUCAUGUACAUGUAUUUUGACACCAACAGACCUUAAAAUUUGAAUUCAUUUAAUUAGUUAUUUAAGAUUCUGCAUUUAAAACUGUAUUUUAUGAAAUACUGAUUAUGAUUAAAGAUUGUAUUUUAU